AAAACGGUCCUUUUAAGGACCACUCAUAUGUUUAUAAUCGGAUUGU
rfam:Ixodes scapularis strain Wikel colony gcontig_1108378805574, whole genome shotgun sequence.